rnacentral:rRNA from 1 species
UGGGGAAUCUUGCCCAAUGGGCGAAAGCCUGAGGCAGCAACGCCGCGUGUGGGAUGACGGCCCUCGGGUUGUAAACCACUUUCAGCAGGGACGAAAAUGACGGUACCUGCAGAAGAAGCUCCGGCCAACUACGUGCCAGCAGCCGCGGUAAUACGUAGGGAGCAAGCGUUGUCCGGAUUUAUUGGGCGUAAAGGGCGCGUAGGCGGUUAAGUAAGUCGGGUGUUAAAUCUCCAAGCUCAACUUGGAGCUGCCACUCGAAACUGCUUUGACUUGAGUCUGGUAGGGGAACACGGAAUACCUGGUGUAGCGGUGAAAUGCUUAGAUAUCAGGUGGAACACCAGUGGCGAAGGCGGUGUUCUGGGCCAGUACUGACGCUGAUGCGCGAAAGCGUGGGGAGCGAACAGG